rnacentral:rRNA from 1 species
CCUACGGGAGGCAGCAGUGGGGAAUAUUGGGCAAUGGGCGAGAGCCUGACCCAGCAAAGCCGCGUGAAGGAUGACGGUCUUCGGGUUGUUAAAUUCUUUUCGACGGGACGCAAAAAGUGCCGGUACCUUACUAAUAAGCCUCGGCUAACUACGUGCCAUCAGCCGCGGGAAUACGGAGGGUGCCAGCGUUAUCCGGAUUUACUGGGUGGAAAGGGUGCGUAGGUGGUUUGGUAAGUUAGUAGUGAAAGUCCAAGGCUCAACCUUAGAAUUGCGCUUAACACUGGUAGACUUGAGUGCAGGGGAGGUAGGCGGAAUUCGUAGUGUAGCGGUGGAAUGCGUAGAUAUGAGGAGGAACACCAGUUGCGAAGGCGGGUUGCUAGACUGCAACUGACAUUGAGGCACGAAAGUGUGGGGAGCAAACAGGAUUAGAUACCCUGGUAGUC